CACCGGCGGCCCGAGUGGUGAUCACUUUUAUUGGGUCUAAAGGGUCCGUAGCCGGUUUGAUCAGUUCUUCGGGAAAUCUGACAGCUUAACUGUUAGGCUUCUGGGGAAUACUGUCAGACUUGGGACCGGGAGAGGUAAGAGGUACUACAGGGGUAGGAGUGAGAUCUUGUAAUCCCCUGUGGGACCACCAGUGGCGAAGGCGUCUUACCAGAACGGGUCCGACGGGUGAGGGACGAAAGCUGGGGGCACGAACCGGGAUUAGAUACCCCGGGUAGUCCCAGCCGUAAACCGAUGUUCGCUAGGUGUCAGGGACGGUGCGACCGUUUCUGGUGCCGCAGGGAAGCCGUGAAGCGAACCGACCUGGGAAGUACGGCCGCAAGGCUGAAACUUAAAGGAAUUGGCGGGGGAGCACUACGAACGGGUGGAGCCUGCGGUUU
rnacentral:rRNA from 1 species